rnacentral:rRNA from 1 species
AUGACGUCAAAUCAUCAUGCCCCUUAUGACCUGGGCUACACACGUGCUACAAUGGUUGGUACAACGAGUUGCGAGUCGGUGACGGCGAGCUAAUCUCCUUAAAGCCAAUCUCAGUUCGGAUUGGUAGGCUGCAACUCCGCCUACAUGAAGUCGGAAUCGCUAGUAAUCGCGGAUCAGCACGCCGCGGUGAAUACGUUCCCGGGCCUU